UUGCUUGCUGAUGCAGCACCAUCAAGAUUCACAUAGAAAUAUGGAGAGAAAUUGAAAUGAAAUCUGCCCUAGUAAUUUGACAUGAGAAUCUUGAUGAUGCUGCAGUAGCAAAUGA
rfam:Nicotiana sylvestris Nsyl_contig48992, whole genome shotgun sequence.